GUGGAAAAAAACAAGGAAUUGUGCGCAAAAAUUAGCAGCAUUUAAAAUAUAUAAACCUUUAAUAAUCAAUAGGAGGGUUCUGUUAUUGAAUCCUCCUAUUAUCUUCCAAAAUUAACAUUUAGUAUGAGAAGAAAAAGAAAAACUAUUCACUAGAGUGCUACUAUGAAUUGAAAGUGCUUCAAAUUGUGGUAUGGUAAUCACAGCAAUCUAUCAUAGAAAAAC